AGUAGUGUGGCUUAGUGGAAAGAGCCUGGGCUUGGAAGUCAGAGGGCGCAGGUUCUAAUCCCGCCUCCGCAA
rnacentral:tRNA from 1 species